AUUGAACGCUGGCGGCGUGCUUAACACAUGCAAGUCGAACGCGAAAGGGACUUCGGUCCUGAGUAAAGUGGCGGACGGCUGAGUAACGCGUAGGAACGUACCCCAAGGUGAGGGAUAACUGCUCGAAAGAGUAGCUAAUACCGCAUGUGCUCUUCGGAGUAAAGCUUCGGCGCUUUGGGAACGGCCUGCGUCCUAUUAGCUAGUUGGUGAGGUAAUUGCUCACCGAGGCGACGAUAGGUAGCUGGUCUGAGAGGAUGAUCAGCCAGACUGGGACUGAGACACGGCCCAGACUCCUACGGGAGGCAGCAGUAGGGAAUUUUCCACAAUGGGCGAAAGCCUGAUGGAGCAACGCCGCGUGCAGGAUGAAUGCCUUCGGGUUGUAAACUGCUUUUUUCUGUGAUGAAUAUGACAGUAACAGACGAAUAAGGAUCGGCUAACUCCGUGCCAGCCGCCGCGGUAA
rnacentral:rRNA from 1 species